UGGGCUAUAGCCAAGUGGUAAGGCAACGGACUUUGACUCCGUCAUUCGUUGGUUCGAAUCCAGCUAGCCCAGCCA
rnacentral:tRNA from 18 species